CCGCUAUUUCAUCCGGCACCUCUGCAACAUUGCGUUAAGAUUGUUGAGGGAAGGGAUAAUCAGUAAUCACAGCUGUUUAUUAUUUCGACUGUUUCUUUUCAGGUUCAGGGUGAAGAAUGUGGUACGAAGCAAUGACUAGUUUGCUGUUGACGACAGUUUUUGUUGGCCUUCCGUACGGAAUUAUUCCGUUAGUUCAUAAGCUGGCGAACAACGGGAAUGCUUUCUCGAGGCUGCAAAACUCGACACAUCAAAGAUUUCUUUACAGAAGAGACACUCGAUUGACUGGUAACCCAUAUGUCUUGAAGGGUUUGGAAUCUAUCCCUGAUUAGACAAAUCACUCUUGAAUUAUCAGUAUGAUGUCUUAGAGGAAUUUGAAGAAAUAAAUUGUAUAGUGGAAGUAAUUCAGUUCUUUGUCCUUUUACAUCUUAUAUUAGAAUUUUAUGGAAAUAUCCCAUGAGGCAUCAGCAGUAAAAAUUAUGUAUGGAUAAAUGUAAAUCCUACAACUUGUAUAUGAUGUAGGACUUAUAUAUGUAAGUCCUACCUAUAUAAUCCUUAUUAUAAGUAAGUGAUUUCUUCCCAUUAAAACAUUCAACCUGAUGGUCUUCUAUUAAAAUUUUAUGGCCUACUUUAAAAAAAAAAAGUAAUAGGGAAGUAAGGGAACAGUGUUAUUGGUGGAUGUAAACGGUGUAAUUUUAAUAACAUAGAGAUACAUAACAAGAUAGUGUAGGUUUACAAAAUUACAUAAGUUCAAUUAAUUCCAGAUUAUUUGGGG